GCCUACUCCUAAUACAGUUUAGACUAGACUUCUAAUACAGUUAGACUUCUAACAACAACUAAGGGACAGCAUAAUGGAAAGGGAACUCCACAGCCAACCAUGAGGCAUGAGGUUGGAGUCCAAGUUCAAGUCAGAAUUUAGUUAAAGAUUUAGUUUAGCAAGAUAUCUAACCCAUUUAUCACCUAUUUUCUGAUUCUUUAGUUGUUGUUGUUGUUGUUUCCGAAGACUUGAACUUUAUUUUUUUAUUUUUUUUGGUCACUUUCAAUCAAGAUCACGGGCGCACCUUCUCCUCAGUUCUGCGAUUUUCUCUUUCGCAAAUUUUCACCAUUGUUUAACUCUUUGUUCUGUUCCGGCGACCCCUGCUCUAUUCUCUUUUUCCUCGCUCGCUUUUUUCUUUCUUUUCUUCCUAUUCUCUCUUCUGCUUUUUGUGGGUGUGUGUGGGUGUGUUAUAUUUUCUUGGACAGGUGCCUUAUUUUUUCGGCGAGGAUUUCCGGCAAGCUACAGCGCUUCCGGCGACUCCCGUUCAGGUUUUCGGCAGGACGCAGCAGAACUAUUCCGAUAAGCUUCAAGAAAACUUGCCCCAGGUACUAGUAGCGCCGGCGAGGCCAGUUUACGGCGUUAGGGAGUGAGGAGCUAAGCAACACCAGCUGGGACGUGCAAGAGUUGGUAGCAGUUGACCUCGGGCGCAUCAAAGCCUACUUUCAGGUUUUUCCAUCGGGAGUUGGUACCUCCCGCUCUCUUGUUUACUCUGUAAACCUUUUUACGUAUUCUAGCUAGCAUUUUGCGUAAGGUUUACUCUGUUGCUAUCUAGUUUGCAUCUUUUAGCGUAUUCCGAUAUAGUGCGUGUCUGCGUCACUAUUCUCCAUAGUCGGUUGUAGAGAUAGUGGCCGCGGCGGGGGAUGAUAGUGUAAGGUCAUGUCCUCGGGGGAUGGGGGCGGUGGCG
rnacentral:lncRNA from 1 species